CCAAAAUUUAACAUUUUAAAUUUCAGCGAGCAAUCGAAGACAUUGACCUAAGUUCAACGAUCAAAACUCGACAUUCUAAAAUUUAGUGACCAAUCAAAGACAUUGACUUAAGUUCAGUGACCACUAGAACAAUUAAUUCUCUUUCAUAUCUCUUUCAUUGAAAAACCAAUUGACCUCUCUCUCUCUCUCUCUCUCUCUCUCUCUCUGUUUGGCCAUUGAAAACCAACAAGUACACCCAUGCACAGGAUCAUCGUGUGUAAUUGCACACAAGACCGCUAUUCUAAUUCGAUUUUGGGGUUUUAGGGUGGCUUCUUUCUCCUUCGAUUUGAUUUAGUAUGGAGUUCUGGGUGAUUUUUGUUGGUGAUUAUUGGUGGUUUGCGAAUGGCAAUGGUGGUGGUUUCUUCCUACUCUCAUCUAAUUUAUUUAGCUGGAGAUUUGGGGUAUUUUUGUUGCCCGAUGUUGGUAGUGGUGCUGCAGGUGCAGGUAGUGGGGUAGUAGUGGUGUUAGUGUUGGUAUUAGUUGUGGUGGUGCUGCUGAUGGUACUAGUGUUGGUGACGAUAAGGAGGCGCAAUGGUUGUGCAUGUGGUGGUAGUGGUAAGGUGGUGCUAGUUUUGCUGCUGAUCACAAAUGAUGGUGGUAUAGGUGGUGGUGGUGGUGGUGGUGGUGCUAGUGCUAGUGCUGAUUAGACAUUUGAUUGGUGUCGAUGGUAGAGUAGGGUUGGGGGUGGUAGUAGUGGUAGUGGUGGAGCAACUGUCAGUGGUGGUGAGGUGGUUCGUUCAACUUUCAGUUGGGUGCUAAUGAUGGGGUGGGUGGAAUGAUGAGUAUUUGUGACCAAUUAUUUGGAUGAUUAUAACUUAUAAAUUGGUAUGUUAAUAACCAAUAAAUAAUAUGUGAUCAAAAAAUGUGAUAUUGCGGCUAGAUUUGUAAUUAUAAUUCAUAAUUUGUUAAGUUUUGAUCAAUUAAUUUCAUAAUUUGUGAUCAAGAAUCAACUUGUGACCAAUUAAUUUGAUAAUUUGUGAUUGUGUGAUUUGUGAUCAAGAAAUAA
rnacentral:lncRNA from 1 species